CCCUCUUCACGCAUCAGGGAAGAAACGAAAUAACCGCCAUUUACAGACUAUGGUUGCUUCGACCUGAGCGCAACAUUUCGUGCCUUUGAAGACACGUACCAGAAAGAAGCCUAUACAGUUAUUGGCCUCUUCCACGGCAACAUAAACGACAGCAGAAUGCUGAGUUGUAGCUAUCCGAUGCGUUCCAGUAUGUCAGUCUUCAUGGGUAAAAGUAAAGCACGAACAAUGGAUUCAAGAUCACUCGUACAACAAAAGGAAACAAACGUGCGUGACACUAUAGUUAAUUGGACCUUGUUAAAAUCAGUCUCACUAUAAUCACAAAUGAUGCCUACUGCGAGAAAACAGACCACUAUUAUAGCAAGUGGACAGUGAAUAAUGGCUGGACAUUAAUAUUAAUAUUUUAUGAAAUUUGAGCAUUACAUAGUGUAACAUGGAA